AACUGCUGAGGCAAAAAACAUAAUCAACAAACUUAAAAUUGUUCUAGGAUACAAUUACGUACACUUUUCUUGAGUAGCUUUAAUGUAACUUAAUAAGCAAAAAGGAUUUGCAGUUUGUGAAAGUACUGAACUGGAAUGAGAUGUAUUAUGUGAACCAUUAUAUUCAUUACUGUGUUUUCAUAAAAUUAAUAUUUACAAAAUGACAAAUUUCACAAGAUGUACAUACAUGUAUAUGUAGACAUAUUAAAAUUUUCUGAAUGCCAUUUUUAUACUUUCAGUGGCUUAACUUGGAGAAAAUUAUAAAAAAGGAAACACUAAAUGAUACUUUCUUUUACCAUAAAUCCCAGAAAUACAUUAAAUAGAUGUGUGUUUCAAUUCAUGAAUAGACAGACACCAUGUGCGCCUGCCUAAUAUGCCAAUAUGAUGUACAGUUUCUAUUACUUGUAUUUGUUUAUGAGACCAGACAUUAUCAAAAAGGGAUGAUUGGACGACUGAGAUCUACACAGAGGAUUAUUGUUCCACUUUCAAAAGAACACUAACAAAUGGAAUUAUUUAAAAGAAAAAAAAACACAAAAAAUUACCAUUAAGUUUAUUUUAUAACAUUGAUUUAAAGAUGCGGUUUGUUUUUCUGUAGACUCAGUGGAGAAUCUCUGCAGACACUGUGGCAGUGAGGACACAGAAGAUCACAUGUGGAUCACAUGUGACAGAUGUAACUGGUGGUACCACCAAGGCUGCAUUAAGGUCCCACAAACCGACACAGACUGCUGCUGUGCAAUGUGUUUAUAGAUUUUAUGUUUGUACCAAUCUAAUUCGUUAAUGACUGCAGUUCAGUGGAUUUUCAGUUUAAACAUGUGACAUAAUUUUCGUUGACUUAAUUGGUUUUCCAAAAAUUUUUGUUAUGAAUAUUCUUUUGUUGAAAUUAAUGAAAAAAAGUGAUUUAAAUUUUUAUGUUAAACCAAAAUAAAAAUGGUUUGUGCAUGCUUUACAUUUAGCAUGGUUGCAUUGUCAGAUUUAUUUCCUUCAGUAUCCUUGCAAUAGCGAUAAUAAAGAAAUAACAUUUUCUACAUAAUCACAUUUGUUCCCUUAACUGCUGGGAUGAGUUUUAUAUCAAUAGGAUAAUAUUUGAGGAAAAUAGAGAGGGCAUGCAGAUAUCGGCAGG